CGGGGUGUAGCGCAGUUGGCUAGCGCGCAGCGUUCGGGACGCUGAGGUCGGGAGUUCAAGUCUCCCCACCCCGA
rnacentral:tRNA from 1 species